rnacentral:tRNA from 18 species
GCCGAUGUAGCUCAGAGGAAGAGCGCCGGAUUUGGGUCCGGAGGUCAGGGGUUCGAGUCCCUUCAUCAGCACCA